UACGUAGGGGGCUAGCGUUGUCCGGAUUUAUUGGGCGUAAAGAGCGUGUAGGCGGCCAGGUAGGUCCGUUGUGAAAACUCGAGGCUCAACCUCGAGACGUCGGCGGAAACCCUCUGGCUAGAGUCCGGAAGAGGAGAGUGGAAUUCCUGGUGUAGCGGUGAAAUGCGCAGAUAUCAGGAAGAACACCGGUGGCGAAGGCGGCUUUCUGGACAGAUACCGACGCUGAGGCACGAAAGCUAGGGGAGCAAACAGG
rnacentral:rRNA from 1 species